CCCGUGCCAGAGGGAGGGGAGCUGUGCCAUGCUGCACGCUCCCUCCUGCCCAAGUUCUCUGCGGGGUGGAGGGCUCGGAAUGUCACCGGUUUGCUCCUUCCCUGUCUCCUUCAGGCAGUCCUGGGCGCUGGUAGGGAUCAGCUUUCCAGAGCAGAAGAUAAGCAGGAGUAUCACAGGAGUGGAACAGGGUUAGCCAUCGCCCAAAGAGAUUUCCUCACACAGGACGGCACCUGUUUCACUGUUUCUGCUUUCAGUGGAUGGAUAAAAGGUGUGCCUCAUAGUGGAUUUAAAGUGGAAAUGUCCAAAGGAAUAAUUCUUCAUCUGGUGGAUGAGGUUACAAGUUGGUUACCUGGUGACCUGGCAUUGUCACUGACAGCACAGAUUAUUUUAUGCAUCAGGCUGAAGAGUUUAAUCUCCUUCCUUGCCCAAGGAAAAAAGGCAGCCUACUUUGUCUUCACAUUGGAGAAGUCAUAG
rnacentral:lncRNA from 1 species